GGCUAAAAGAGUAAUUUAACCUUGACAAAAUCAUCCACCCAUGACUUAAUUAAAGACAACCUUUAAAAAGUAUAAUCUCCAACAAUGAUCAUUUUGUCGAAUUUCCCGUCUUUGAUGAUGGGUUAUCAGAUUUUUUAGUUCUUCUGGGAUUCAUUGCAUCAGAACUAAAAUUUUUUGGAUAUUGUUUAGAUAGUUUACUAUUUGAUCAAAUUCUAACAUUCCUGUGUUCUGAAACUCUAUUUUGCUUCCGUGGUGCAGAAUGCAUUUCAGCUUGCAUUUUUGGCUUGGAGCACCUAUGAAUUCUCGAUACGUUCUUGCUUUCACAAAACAACUGUAGAUGUUGUCCUGAGAAUUUCAAUCGGAGUCGUCAUUCAAGUUCUUUGCAGCUAUGUGACUUUGCCCCUUUAUGCUUUAGUCACUCAGAUGGGUUCAACUAUGAAAACCACA